CAGCCGUAAACGAUGCGCGUUAGGUGUAUCGACGACCACGAGUCGUCGAGGUGCCGAAGGGAAACCGUGAAACGUGCCGCCUGGGAAGUACGGUCGCAAGGCUGAAACUUAAAGGAAUUGGCGGGGGAGCACCACAACAGGUGGAGCCUGCGGUUUAAUUGGACUCAACGCCGGAAAUCUCACCGGAUAGGGCAGACAUAUGAUAGUCGGGCUGAAGACUCUACUUGAUGAUCUGAGAGGAGGUGCAUGGCGUCAGUGACU
rnacentral:rRNA from 1 species